rnacentral:rRNA from 1 species
UGAGGAAUAUUGGUCAAUGGACGCAAGUCUGAACCAGCCAUGCCGCGUGCAGGAUGACGGUCCUAUGGAUUGUAAACUGCUUUUGUACGGGAAGAAACCCCUUUACGUGUAGAGGGCUGACGGUACCGUAAGAAUAAGGAUCGGCUAACUCCGUGCCAGCAGCCGCGGUAAUACGGAGGAUCCAAGCGUUAUCCGGAAUCAUUGGGUUUAAAGGGUCCGUAGGCGGCUUUAUAAGUCAGGGGUGAAAUCCGGCAGCUCAACUGUCGAACUGCCUCUGAUACUGUAGAGCUUGAAUUAUUGUGAAGUAACUAGAAUAUGUAGUGUAGCGGUGAAAUGCUUAGAUAUUACAUGGAAUACCAAUUGCGAAGGCAGGUUACUAACAAUACAUUGACGCUGAUGGACGAAAGCGUGGGUAGCGAACA